rnacentral:lncRNA from 1 species
AACGGCAAAAGUUGAAGCUGCAGUAAGCUUAUAAAUAAAUAAAAACGAGGCAAAUGAUGAGCGAGAAAAAGAAGAUAUAAAAUGUGCUUUCAGUGACUAAUCAUAUUAUUUUAUCUGUUAUUUGAAUGACACAUAGAUACUUACAUAUUCAUCAUUUAAAAAAAUUAAAAAAUAAUUCCAAUUUAAAUUCUACUCACAUCCGGAUGUAUGUUCUUACAAUCAGACUGAGUAGAUGAUGAAUGGAGAUCAUAAUCUCUAUAGAAAGAAUAUGGAGCUUCAAAGCACUUGGGUUGUUUCACAUUACUCCCUUCAACCUUGGGAGAAUUUGAAAAAACAUCAGGAGAAGUUGUUUUAGCUGGUAGAGAUAAUUGGAGAUGAGGAUGUUUCCCUUGGCCUUGCGACAUUCUCUCCUUAUUGAAAAAGGGCUUACUUGCUCCUCCAACCAACAAUUUUUUUCAAAGUAAUAAGAUUUUAGAAAAUAACCAUAAUCAAUUGUAAACUCAAAGCUCUGUACUUAAUCCAUCAACAUACAGAGCAAGGACUCAAAGCCUUAUACUUAGUCCAUCAAAAUACAGAGCAAGGAUAUAAGAAAAGAAAAGACAAAUAUGCCAUAAAAAGAGAUUCCCAAUAUUCCAAAUUAAUUAGAGACUAAGAACUAUGGCCAAUGAGCAUAAAACUGGCAGUAAUGACAUUUGAUAAACAUUUCCAAGGCAUUACCCAAGUGAUAUUAGCAAAAGUAAAUCUUAAUAAAACAUUUCUAAAGAGAGAGUCAAAUACAAUGGCAACAAUAUCCCCUCACCACUCAUUUUGCUGGAUCAAACAUAAAACCAAGAAUUAUAUAAAGAAAAAAAAUUAAAAAAUAAACACAGAAACAAUAUGCACUGCUGCUCGAUCAAAAAACAAAAACCAAAAGUAAAACAAGUAGGUAACAUGAUAAGGUCACCUGUCUGUUACGAUGAGAAUAAUGACUGUUAGGCGCGGAGAUCUCCCUGAAAAGCCUCCCCUCAUAUUCUGAUGACUCAUAGACCCUAAGCAACGAAAGAGUAUGGAAAGAAAGAUAGGGCUUAGAUUAUUAUUAUUUUUUAAUUUUUUAAAACUAAAAUAACUUUUCAGUAACACAAUUUGAAAAGCCAGACUCUAGGAAAUCACAAUUCAAGAAACAUUGACAAUUAAACAAAAUCCAUACCUCAUCCAAGGUUUUUGGAUCAAAGACCAAAUCAUGUGGUAUCCUAGUUUGUGAUCUAAAGGCAUAUAAACUAGCUCAAAUUGGUGGUGUAAACAAGUAACCAAAGGAAUCAAUCAAAGAAACCAGCUGUGUAAAACAAUUUCAAUUUAAAAAAAUCAGUGACAUUUAACUGAAAUUUCAUCACCAAUUUAUCCAAUUAGAU